GCCUAUGGCCAUACCACCCAGAAUGCGCCCCAUCUCGCCUGAUCUCGGAAGCUAAGCAGGGUUGGGCCUGGUUGUACUUGAAUGGGAGACACCUUGAAAAUACCGGAUACUGUAGGCU
rnacentral:rRNA from 1 species